rnacentral:piRNA from 1 species
UGAGUAUUGAGAUGGAUAAAACGAAGGUGUU